AAUUGAAAAAAAGAAUCGAACUUUUCUUAAUAGUCCCUAAAACUACCGCAUUACCCUAUUUGCUAUAUCAAC
rnacentral:tRNA from 1 species